ensembl:lncRNA
GGAACAAAGUUUGUCAUCCUGAGACACCAGACCUUUGACGAGACUCAGGUAACCUCUGACAGCGCGUACAGUGCUAACAAAGAGUCCCUGUCAGCCUUUGUGGAAGACUUUGAGACUUCAGUCAGCGUUGACUUUCUAGAAGAUGAGGAGCGUGUUGGCGAAGUGCUAGACUGUGGUUCUUCGGAUCUAUCGGAUCAUGGAGGAACAGAAGAAGCUCAGCAUGAAGAUGAAAAGAUGACAGAAGCAGCAGCAUCCCAGAAGUUGUGAUCACACAGGCAGAUGAGGCUGAAAUGAAGUUAUGCAUUAUUUGGCUGUUGACUCGCAUCUUGUGGAGCUGGACCUCUGGAAAACACGGGCGUAUGUUGGUCAUGAAUUCUACAAGCUCGUCUGCCUCAAGUCCGCUGCGGAGCUGAUGUGCUGGCUGCUCGACACCUCUUGCAUGAAUCACUGCCUCUGCCCUUUUUUUCCAUUUGCCAUUUCUGGUCAUUUUUCCCUGUUCUGCCGAAUCCCAUGCACCCAUGAAUGCAGUCCAUUGGUUUUGGGAUGUGGUGAGCCGUAUGUGCAGCCCCACUUUUCUAAGACGGCACUCGACUGGGCAGUGAAGCACGGCAAUCUUGAGAUGGCAGAGAUGGUCGCCAAAGCAGGCGUCGAUGUCAAUGCUAAAUCGGUAAGUGAUGACAGAUGUUUCAUUGGUUUCUUCUGUGUUGGUCUCUCUGGGCGGUAUUUAUGCAUGCACAACUUACAGUGCCACUGCUCACUCUCUAUAUAUAUGCCUGAAGCUUUGUGA